AUUGAACGCUGGCGGCAUGCCUUACACAUGCAAGUCGAACGGCAGCAUGGAGAGCUUGCUCUCUGAUGGCGAGUGGCGAACGGGUGAGUAAAGCAUCGGAACGUACCGUGUAGUGGGGGAUAACGUAGCGAAAGUUACGCUAAUACCGCAUACGCACUGAGGUGGAAAGCAGGGGAUCGCAAGUCCUUGCGCUAUACGAGCGGCCGAUGUCAGAUUACCGAGUUGGUAGGGUAAAGGCCUACCAAGGGGACGAUCUGUAGCGGGUCUGAGAGGAUGAUCCGCCACACUGGGACUGAGACACGGCCCAGACUCCUACGGGAGGCAGCAGUGGGGAAUUUUGGACAAUGGGGGCAACCCUGAUCCAGCCAUGCCGCGUGAGUGAAGAAGGCCUUCGGGUUGUAAAGCUCUUUCGGCCGGGAAGAAAUCGCACAGGCUAAUACUCUGUGUGGAUGACGGUACCGGCAUAAGAAGCACCGGCUAACUACGUGCCAGCCGCCGCGGUAAAAC
rnacentral:rRNA from 1 species